CUUUAGAAUAAAAUCUAAAAUCCAAAUGGCACUCAAGACUUGUUUUAAAAAUCUCUCUAUAUUUUCAUCAAUAUUUCCUGCCAUUCCCCCAGUACUGUCUACACUCCACAGUCCAGCCAUUCUGGAGCAAUUUCAGUUCCCUGAAUGUGCUGCGCUUUCUGACCACCUCCACAACUACUGCAUGCCAUUCCUCAUCAUUAGCCCCUGGCUGACUUGUCUACCAUGACAACUCGGUCACUGCCGACGUCGCAAAGGCUCUGUGACUCUGGUUGGCCGUGUUCCAUGAUCCUUCCUCUGGGCUCCCAUGGCACACAGUGCCCCUUUGUUACUUAUCUUAGCGAACUGUCCCUUAUCUAUAAACUCCCCGAAGACAGGUGUGUUUCCUCUCACUACCUCUGCACCAGGCACAGUGGGUGGCACAGAGCUGGUCCUCAGCAAACACCUGUUAAACAAGUCAAUGAAUGAAUGGUGCAGAAUCACUUGGUGGUUCAGGUCUCAUCAACAGAUAAGUAUCUAUAACAGUCAAGCUGUUCAUUGAUCUUCAACUUUUGAAAAUGAAUCUAAAUAAAAGAAAUGUGAGAGGGAUCUUAAAACCCACUUCAAGCUCGAGACCACUGUUGAUCGCUAGGCAAUGGGAGUCAUAAAUCAGUCAGGCAGGGGCUGGAGACACGGAGAUGAAACUCGGAUUGUGUUUAGAUGAGUCGUGAAGACAGACCCACACCUCGGCCAUUAAAAUACAAUGGAAUCGGUGCCAUGAUAAUUCUGUGCUAUGCAGGUAGCACAGAGACCAGUGUCUGGAACCAGCAUGCAUAAAAGAGGACUUCUUGAAUGAGAAAGAAUACUGUGAGAAAGAUAUUAUAGUCUACUCUCUGUAACCACGGUUCUGCACCCAUGGAUUCAACAAGCUAGAAUCAAAAGGCCUACGACGGUUGCAUGUGUACUGAAUACCUACAGACUUUUCCUCUUGCCAUUAUUUCCUAAAUAAUACAGUAUAACAACUAUUUAGAUCGUAUUACAAGCGAUCUAGAGAUGAUUUGAAGCAUACAGGAGGAUAUGCAGUUUAGAUGCAAAUAGAUGCCUUUUUAUGUAAGGGCCUUGAGCAUCUGUGGAUUUUGGUACCCACGGGGUCCUGGAACCAGUCCCCCAGGGAUACCAGUGACGACUCUAUUUCCACUUAACAGGAGAGGAAAGUGAAGAUAAAGAGGUUAAGGGUCUUGCCAAAUUCCCAGUGCUAGGAAUCAGAAAGGCUGAGAUUCCAAACCAGCUCUUCCUAUCCCCACACCCAUUGCUUUCUUUUGUUCCCCAUGGCCACUCCUCACUCAUUUCUAUACCGCCCUCCCUUACUGUUUGUCCAUUCGUGAAAAGGGCUAGUGAAACAGUCCUUCCCUUCCCUUCAGGAAAACUCAGUGAAAUAACGUGAAAGUAUUUUGAAAGAAAAAGAUGUAUAUGUCAGGAUUCUUGUAGCCAAAAGAAAGGUGGAAUCAGACUUUGCAGAACCAAAUAGCAACAGCUUAAGUCCCCAGACUUCGUGCAAACACACAAAACCAUGUUGAUUCCAUUACUAAGACAGGAGAGGCAGGGAGGAGGGAAAACACGCUGGACUUCCCAGUGACUGUUUUUGGAAAAAAACAAAACAAAACAAAAAACCUCGGUGAGCUAAUCUCGAACGCGAGGAACUGCUCCUUUGUUGUCCAGCUGCUGCCUUCGAAUCCUGUGUUUGUGUUACCCACAAUUGCCACGGAAGUGUUUCAUUUCGUUUAUUUAUUAUUUAUAUCCCAAGAGAAACGCAAGGCCUGGAAGUGAAGCUUUUUUCAUUUUCAUACACUAGAUUCAUAUCUCGACCACUUUGUUUUGCCGAUAUGUCAGCUUAAAAAUUACAGAGCUAAUACAACCACCAGCCGAGAGGGUGAGGUACUCUCAAAUUCAAAUAUUUGGAUUUGACGCCGAAGUCUGAUGCCAAGGACAUGCUGAUCUGCGACUGAAGAGCCGAAACACAAAAGUCCCAAUCUUAUUUUCUCCUGACUAUGUCACAGGGAUGCACUGCCGACUUAAUGUCUUUAAUCUGCCUUGCUGCUUCCAAAGCCACAAUUAAUCAGAAUCCAUGCAAGGGCCAGCCCUGUGACAAGCUGCCCCUGAACACAGCGCGGCUGGGACCGCAGAUCCCCGCCGACCCUUUGUUCCAUCGGCAGAAGAUUCUCUCGGUGGCCAGCUGAAGGCCUUUUCUUUGUGUCGUGAUUGACAGACAUGAAUUAAAUAUCACCCCACUGGGCUCUCUGAUUGGUGAAUAACGAUGGAUUACAAGAAUGUCUUGGGAAAAUGGCGUUUUAUGAUAGGGGGACAGUACCAGAAAGGCAGAGCUUUUCCAGCUAAUCCUGAACUUGACAACAGCAGAGACCUUCAUUUUAGGCUCUGAUUUUUUUUUAGUUCAAUAUGCCUUGUUCAGGUCCCGAAAGGAAUGAUCCUGGAAUGGCCUAAGAGAAGAGGAUGAAGCCAAAGAAAGUAAAAAUUGGGGGGAAAGAAAACGAUCGUUUUCUUUAAAAGACUCAUGUUUCUGGAGAUGUGCUUGAAGGAGUCUCUUCUAAAAUGGGUCUGGCAUUGUCCCUGAGGCAUGUUGUUCUUUCUCAGUUUAUCAGCGCGGCAACUAAUGUUCCUUAGGGCAAUGAUGUGUGCUGCAGAAUCCACCCUAUUCCCAGCAUCCUGCACGCAGUCGUGGGCAUAAACAGCUCUGCACACACAGCCCUCUGGUUUUGAAUAAGCAGAAACGGUGCAUUAAGAAAGUACAGAGAAAUGGGGGAGCAAAGAAAGGCAUCCCAGAAUUCUAGGUGACACAGCACAUAUGCAGCUAACUAGAUGAAGA